GCCGGGAUGGCAGAGUGGACUAAUGCGCGGAUCCGCAAAGCCCGUGACCCUUUUUGGGUCUCGUGGGUUCGAAUCCCACUCCCGGCG
rnacentral:tRNA from 1 species